rnacentral:rRNA from 1 species
GAUGAACGCUGGCGGCGUGCUUAACACAUGCAAGUCGAACGGAAAGGCCCUGCUUUUGUGGGGUGCUCGAGUGGCGAACGGGUGAGUAACACGUGAGUAACCUGCCCUUGACUUUGGGAUAACUUCAGGAAACUGGGGCUAAUACCGGAUAGGAGCUCCUGCUGCAUGGUGGGGGUUGGAAAGUUUCGGCGGGUGGGGAUGGACUCGCGGCUUAUCAGCUUGGUGGUGGGGUAGUGGCUUACCAAGGCUUUGACCGGUAGCCGGCCUGAGAAGGUGACCGGCCACAAUGGGACUGAGAUACGGCCCAGACGCCUACGGGAGACAGCAGUGGGAAAUAUUGCACAAUGGGCGGAAGCCUGAUGCAGCAACGCCGCGUGCGGGAUGACGGCCUUCGGGUUGUAAACCGCUUUCGCCUAAGACGAAGCGUGAGUGACGGUAAUGGGUAAAGAAGCACCGGCUAACUACGUG